GGGGAAUAUUGCGCAAUGGGGGAAACCCUGACGCAGCAACGCCGCGUGAAGGAAGAAGGCUUUCGGGUCGUAAACUUUUGUCUUUGGGGACGAUAAUGACGGUACCCAAGGAGGAAGCCACGGCUAACUACGUGCCAGCAGCCGCGGUAAUACGUAGGUGGCAAGCGUUGUCCGGAUUUACUGGGUGUAAAGGGCGUGUAGGCGGGAUGGCAAGUCAGAUGUGAAAUACCAAGGCUUAACCUUGGGGCUGCAUUUGAAACUGUUAUUCUUGAGUGUCGGAGAGGGAAGCGGAAUUCCUAGUGUAGCGGUGAAAUGCGUAGAUAUUAGGAGGAACACCAGUGGCGAAGGCGGCUUUCUGGACGAUAACUGACGCUGAGGCGCGAAAGCGUGGGGAGCAAAC
rnacentral:rRNA from 1 species